rnacentral:tRNA from 1 species
GGGGCUUUAGCCAAGUGGUAAGGCGUAGGUCUGCAACACCUUGAUCACCGGUUCAAAUCCGGUAGGCCCCUCCA